UGAGGAAUAUUGCGCAAUGGGGGCAACCCUGACGCAGCGACGCCGCGUGGAUGAUGAAGGCCCUUGGGUCGUAAAAUCCUGUCAGAUGGAAAGAAAUGUAUAGCAGUGAAUAUCUGUUAUAUUUGACGGUACCAUCAAAGGAAGCACCGGCUAACUCCGUGCCAGCAGCCGCGGUAAUACGGAGGGUGCAAGCGUUGUUCGGAAUUACUGGGCGUAAAGCGCGCGUAGGCGGUUUGCUAAGUCAGAUGUGAAAGCCCUCGGCUUAACCGGGGACGUGCAUUUGAAACUGGCAGACUUGAGUACUGGAGGGGGUGGUGGAAUUCCCGGUGUAGAGGUGAAAUUCGUAGAUAUCGGGAGGAAUACCGGUGGCGAAGGCGACCACCUG
rnacentral:rRNA from 1 species